CAGUCGCCGCGGGAAAACGAAGGGGGCUAGCGUUGCUCGGAAUCACUGGGCGUAAAGGGCGCGUAGGCGGACUUUUAAGUCGGAGGUGAAAGCCCAGGGCUCAACCCUGGAAUUGCCUUCGAUACUGGGAGUCUUGAGUUCGGAAGAGGUUGGUGGAACUGCGGGCGUAGAGGUGAAAUUCGUAGAUAUUCGCAAGAACACCGGUGGCGAAGGCGGCCAACUGGUCCGAAACUGACGCUGAGGCACGAAAGCGUGGGGAGCAAAUGGGAUUAGAUACCCCGGUAGUCCCUGUCUCUUAUAC
rnacentral:rRNA from 1 species